CGUAGGUCAAACGACUAUUGCUCUACUUCGUUGCAUCCAACUAUCGCGUUCAUGUCUAAUCAUCUACAUCUUUGAGGUUGUUGAAGUACUAUCACCUCCUAGCUUCCCUUCUGCUACAACCUUACCGUCGACCUCUUGGAUGACCUGUUUGAAUAUGUUCAGAGGAUGAGGUCAACGUUACGCGAAGCACUUACUUCCCGACCUAAUUCCUUAACUCUCUCGAUAUUAUGGCCAAUUAAGCUGAUGUGUACACCUUGAUACAGGUAGGGGUCUGGCCAGCGUUGUCGUCAGUCACUCUUCGAUGAUAUCACAUGGUAUUAACUCACAAGAACCGAUACGGAUUCCUUCUUUCUUCACUCUGGCUUGCAGCUCCGUAAGGUAAGGCGCAAUAGCUGAUUCAGGUUUGCUACAGAAAAGUUCAUGUCACGUCAGGGCCUCCUGUUUUGUGAGGUUAACUCCUGGACUGACCCUGUGUAAAUAAGAUGUCGGAAUGGUUUGGAGGAAGCCGGCGGCAAAGGCAAGUAAGGGGUUAACGCAAGAAGAAGUUGUUGAAAGAGAGAAGGUAUGCCCGGGAAGACGCAUAGCUAUUUGAAAUGCUGUUAGUAAGAUGCCAUUGAUACAGUAA
rnacentral:sRNA from 1 species